rnacentral:rRNA from 1 species
CAUCUCCUAAGGCUAAAUACUCUCUAGUGACCGAUAGUGAACCAGUACCGUGAGGGAAAGGUGAAAAGCACCCCGGAAGGGGAGUGAAAUAGAACCUGAAACCGUGUGCUUACAAGUAGUCAAAGCCCGUUAAUGGGUGAUGGCGUGCCUUUUGUAGAAUGAACCGGCGAGUUACGAUUUGAUGCAAGGUUAAGCAGUAAAUGUGGAGCCGUAGCGAAAGCGAGUCUGAAUAGGGCGUUUAGUAUUUGGUCGUAGACCCGAAACCAGGUGAUCUACCCUUGGUCAGGUUGAAGUUCAGGUAACACUGAAUGGAGGACCGAACCGACUUACGUUGAAAAGUGAGCGGAUGAACUGAGGGUAGCGGAGAAAUUCCAAUCGAACCUGGAGAUAGCUGGUUCUCUCCGAAAUAGCUUUAGGGCUAGCCUCAAGUGAUGAUUAUUGGAGGUAGAGCACUGUUUGGACGAGGGGCCCCUCUCGGGUUACCGAAUUCAGACAAACUCCGAAUGCCAAUUAAUUUAACUUGGGAGUCAGAACAUGGGUGAUAAGGUCCGUGUUCGAAAGGGAAACAGCCCAGACCACCAGCUAAGGUCCCAAAAUAUAUGUUAAGUGGAAAAGGAUGUGGCGUUGCCCAGACAACUAGGAUGUUGGCUUAGAAGCAGCCAUCAUUUAAAGAGUGCGUAAUAGCUCACUAGUCGAGUGACACUGCGCCGAAAAUGUACCGGGGCUAAACAUAUUACCGAAGCUGUGGAUUGUCCUUUGGACAAUGGUAGGAGAGCGUUCUAAGGGCGUUGAAGCAUGAUCGUAAGGACAUGUGGAGCGCUUAGAAGUGAGAAUGCCGGUGUGAGUAGCGAAAGACGGGUGAGAAUCCCGUCCACCGAUUGACUAAGGUUUCCAGAGGAAGGCUCGUCCGCUCUGGGUUAGUCGGGUCCUAAGCUGAGGCCGACAGGCGUAGGCGAUGGAUAACAGGUUGAUAUUCCUGUACCACCUAUAAUCGUUUUAAUCGAUGGGGGGACGCAGUAGGAUAGGCGAAGCGUGCGAUUGGAUUGCACGUCUAAGCAGUAAGGCUGAGUAUUAGGCAAAUCCGGUACUCGUUAAGGCUGAGCUGUGAUGGGGAGAAGACAUUGUGUCUUCGAGUCGUUGAUUUCACACUGCCGAGAAAAGCCUCUAGAUAGAAAAUAGGUGCCCGUACCGCAAACCGACACAGGUAGUCAAGAUGAGAAUUCUAAGGUGAGCGAGCGAACUCUCGUUAAGGAACUCGGCAAAAUGACCCCGUAACUUCGGGAGAAGGGGUGCUCUUUAGGGUUAACGCCCAGAAGAGCCGCAGUGAAUAGGCCCAAGCGACUGUUUAUCAAAAACACAGGUCUCUGCUAAACCGUAAGGUGAUGUAUAGGGGCUGACGCCUGCCCGGUGCUGGAAGGUUAAGAGGAGUGGUUAGCUUCUGCGAAGCUACGAAUCGAAGCCCCAGUAAACGGCGGCCGUAACUAUAACGGUCCUAAGGUAGCGAAAUUCCUUGUCGGGUAAGUUCCGACCCGCACGAAAGGCGUAACGAUUUGGGCACUGUCUCAACGAGAGACUCGGUGAAAUCAUAGUACCUGUGAAGAUGCAGGUUACCCGCGACAGGACGGAAAGACCCCGUGGAGCUUUACUGUAGCCUGAUAUUGAAAUUCGGCACAGCUUGUACAGGAUAGGUAGGAGCCUUUGAAACGUGAGCGCUAGCUUACGUGGAGGCGCUGGUGGGAUACUACCCUAGCUGUGUUGGCUUUCUAACCCGCACCACUUAUCGUGGUGGGAGACAGUGUCAGGCGGGCAGUUUGACUGGGGCGGUCGCCUCCUAAAAGGUAACGGAGGCGCUCAAAGGUUCCCUCAGAAUGGUUGGAAAUCAUUCAUAGAGUGUAAAGGCAUAAGGGAGCUUGACUGCGAGACCUACAAGUCGAGCAGGGUCGAAAGACGGACUUAGUGAUCCGGUGGUUCCGCAUGGAAGGGCCAUCGCUCAACGGAUAAAAGCUACCCCGGGGAUAACAGGCUUAUCUCCCCCAAGAGUUCACAUCGACGGGGAGGUUUGGCACCUCGAUGUCGGCUCAUCGCAUCCUGGGGCUGUAGUCGGUCCCAAGGGUUGGGCUGUUCGCCCAUUAAAGCGGUACGCGAGCUGGGUUCAGAACGUCGUGAGACAGUUCGGUCCCUAUCCGUCGUGGGCGUAGGAAAUUUGAGAGGAGCUGUCCUUAGUACGAGAGGACCGGGAUGGACAUACCUCUGGUGUACCAGUUGUCGUGCCAACGGCAUAGCUGGGUAGCUAUGUGUGGACGGGAUAAGUGCUGAAAGCAUCUAAGCAUGAAGCCCCCCUCAAGAUGAGAUUUCCCAACUUCGGUUAUAAGAUCCCUCAAAGAUGAUGAGGUUAAUAGGUUCGAGGUGGAAGCAUGGUGACAUGUGGAGCUGACGAAUACUAAUCGAUCGAAGACUUAAUCAA